GUGGGUAAUAAUAAAACGACGCGAGUGAAGGCGUUGCUAAGUUGUGUCGUUGGUGCGUGGCAUAACGGCAAUGCGUUUGUUGUGAAGACAAAGUAAAAGAGAAGAAACAAAGAUGAUACUGCAGUUCUUCGUGCUUUCACAGAGAGGCGAUAACAUCGUCUACCGCGACUCUCAAAAGGGAAGCGCUGAGACAUUUUUCCGAAAAGUCAAGUUCUGGAAAGAGAAUGCUGAGGGAGAUGCUCCACCUGUUUUUAAUAUAGAUGGUGUGAACUACUUCCACGUGAAGGCUGCUGGAUUGCUAUUUGUUGCUACUACUAGAGUCAAUGUCUCCCCUUCUCUUGUUUUGGAACUCUUACAAAGAAUUGCACGUGUCAUCAAAGAUUACCUUGGUGUUCUCAAUGAAGAUUCCUUUAGAAAGAACUUCGUGCUCGUUUAUGAAUUGCUGGAUGAAGUCAUAGAUUUUGGUUAUGUGCAAACAACAUCCACUGAGGUUUUGAAGUCAUAUGUUUUCAAUGAGCCAAUUGUGAUUGAUGCUGCACGGAUGCCUCCACUUGGCCCUGCUUCCAUUUUUAUGCAAGGGACCAAACGAAUGCCAGGUACAGCUAUUACAAAGUCUGUGGUUACUAAUGAACCUGGUGGAAGGAAGAGGGAUGAGAUCUUUGUUGAUGUAAUUGAGAAAAUAAGUGUUACAUUCAACUCUAGUGGAUAUAUACUUACUAGUGAGAUAGAUGGAACCAUUCAAAUGAAGAGUUAUCUUACUGGUAACCCGGAGAUUCGACUUGCUCUCAAUGAGGACCUGAGUAUAGGAACAAGUGAUUAUAGAGGUUCAGGUGCUGUCAUUUUAGAUGAUUGUAACUUCCAUGAGUCUGUACACCUUGAUAGUUUUGAUGUUGAUAGAACUUUGUCAUUGGUACAACCAGAAGGUGAAUUUCCAGUCAUGAAUUAUCGUAUGACUCAACCAUUUAAGCCACCCUUUCGUAUUAAUGCAUUGAUUGAAGAAACAGGAUCCCUAAAUGCUGAAGUGACCAUUAAAGUGCGAGCUGAAUUCAACUCAAGUAUCAAUGCUAACACUGUUCUUGUAGAGAUGCCUCUGCCAUCAUUUACAGCUCGUGUUAAUUUUGAGUUAGAACCUGGAGCAGUUGGACACACCACUGAUUUGAAGGAAGCAAAUAAAAGACUGGAAUGGGGCCUGAAAAAGGUUGGUGGUGGAUCUGAACAUACUUUACGAGCAAAGCUAACGUUUUCACGGAGUUACAUGGAAAUAUCAUGAAAGAAGCAGGGCCUGUUAGCAUGGCUUUCACCAUACCUAUGUACAAUGCUUCAAGGCUUCAGGUUAAGUAUUUGCAAAUAGCAAAGAAAUCAACUGCGCAUAAUCCUUAUCGCUGGGUUAGAUAUGUAACCCAAGCAAACUCAUACGUAGCCCGGUUGUAAUUGGAAUCUCUAAGUCCAAAUUCCAAGUUAAAUUUGGGGGGAUGGCAGCAUGUCAGGUGAAAAGAUGGCAGGUUCUCUGCUUCUACAAGUGAAGAUGAUUUUCUCUAGAUAAUGAAUGGCUAAGUGGAACUCGAGUAAAGUGAAGAUGUACAAGACAAAUCUUAAAACUGUGUAAUGUGGAGGGCAGACAUCUAAAUCUUAAAAUUAUUAAAGACUUUAUGUAAUAUAAAUAGUCUUAUGAUGCGUUUAGCCUCCUUAGUAAUGUGUUGGACUAGAGAUAUUCGUUUGAAUGUAUAUGCCAUUGAACCUGAGCUGGUUUUGACGAGAAUUCGAUUCCCUUGGCCCCGUAUGUCUCGAAACUUUAGAGGCAAAAGUCAAAAAGGAAAAAGCCGGAUGAAAUUGGAAAGUCGUUUGCAGCGUAUAAGGUACACAGAAAAGUUCAGUACCAAACAGAAAUAGGUAUUGGCCUUUAGAUAUAAUAUGUAUUUUAUUGAACGGUAGGGUUGUUUGGAAAAAAUUGAGACUUCGGUUAAUUUGUCA